UCCAUCUGUGUGUCCGUGUAGAAUGAUGUCUGCAGCACCAGGUAGUUUGAGAUGUCGGGGAACUCAACGGAUGGAUGAUUUUCCAACUUGUUUCAGCAGCCAUUCUCAUCUCCAUGACAACAGAGCAAGAGGAAGGGGGCAGUAAAGAUGGACGGAGGGAGUGGCUAUACAGCGCAAGUCAGAAGGAAGAGAAAUGGGCUGAGAUGGCACAUCCUCAGCACUACCCAAAAGCCUGCGCAAGCUCUUUGAGCAGCAGACCUGCCUGAUCCAUCCUGAUGCCCUACAUCUGGCUGGAGUCUCAUCACAUUGCUCCUGUGGAGGAUGGCCCCAUAUGGACAAUCGAAAGUCGCACUUGGAAGAUGGCACUGGACACUUACAGUAAUGCUUUUAUGGCUGAGGACUACAGUUGACUUGCUAACUUUAGGAUUGCAGUUGGUUGUCAUGAACAGUUUUGCACUCAAGUUUCCAUCAAUGAACAGUUUAUAACUUCAACAGAAC